CAAGUUGGCUGAGUGAUCGCGGUUGGCGCUUAGGCGCUGGCUGAGGAAAGUCCGCACUCCACAGAGCAUGGUGCCGGCUAACGGCCGGGCGGGGCAACCCGACGGAACAGUGCAACAGAGAGGUGUAUUGCGGUUUUUACCGUGAGGGUGAAACGGUGGUGUAAGAGACCACCGGCAGCGGCAGCAAUGUCGCUGGCCAGGCAAACCCCACCAGGAGCAAGACCAAGCAGGGCGAAGGGGCUGCUCGUCCCGUCUGACGUCCGGGUAGGUUGCAAGAGGCUGUUAGUAAUAACAGUCCCAGAUAGAUGAUCACUAGCGCUCGCGCUUGCAAGCGCCCACAGAAUGCGGCUUACAGGCUGACUUGGCAU
rnacentral:RNase_P_RNA from 1 species